UACGUAGGGGGCUAGCGUUGUCCGGAAUCAUUGGGCGUAAAGCGCGUGUAGGCGGUCCGGUAAGUCCGCUGUGAAAGUCGGGGGCUACCUACCGAAUGCCGGUGGAUACUGCCGGACUAGAGUUCGGAAGAGGCGAGUGGAAUUCCUGGUGUAGCGGUGAAAUGCGCAGAUAUCAGGAAGAACACCCAUGGCGAAAGCAGCUCUCUGGGCCGACACUGACACUGAGAGACGAAAGCUAGGGGAGCAAAUGGG
rnacentral:rRNA from 1 species